rnacentral:rRNA from 1 species
CCUACGUGGAGCAGCAGUGAGGAAUAUUGGUCAAUGGGCGCGAGCCUGAACCAGCCAAGUAGCGUGAAGGAUGACUGCCCUACGGGUUGUAAACUUCUUUUAUAAAGGAAUAAAGUGAGGCACGUGUGCCUUUUUGUAUGUACUUUAUGAAUAAGGAUCGGCUAACUCCGUGCCAGCAGCCGCGGUAAUACGGAGGAUCCGAGCGUUAUCCGGAUUUAUUGGGUUUAAAGGGAGCGUAGAUGGGUUGUUAAGUCAGUUGUGAAAGUUUGCGGCUCAACCGUAAAAUUGCAAUUGAUACUGGCAGUCUUGAGUACAGUUGAGAUAGGCGGAAUUCGUGGUGUAGCGGUGAAAUGCUUAGAUAUCACGAAGAACUCCGAUUGCGAAGGCAGCUUACUAAACUGCCACUGACAUUGAUGCUCGAAAGUGUGGGUAUCAAACAGGAUUAGAUACCCCUGUAGUC